GCUUGUCUAGCUCAAUUGGUAGAGCACAAGGCUUUUAACCUUGUGGUUAUGGGUUUGAGUCCCAUGGUGGGCG
rnacentral:tRNA from 1 species